UCUCAGUUCGGAUUGCAGGCUGCAACUCGCCUGUAUGAAGUCGGAAUUGCUAGUAAUCGUGGAUCAGCAUGCCACGGUGAAUACGUUCCCGGGCCUUGUACACACCGCCCGUCACACCAUGAGAGCCGGGAACACCCGAAGUCCGUAGUCUAACCUAUAUGGAGGACGCGGCCGAAGGUGGGUUUGGUAAUUGGGGUGAAGUCGUAACAAGGUAUC
rnacentral:rRNA from 1 species